CCGGGGAGUGGCGUGGGUCGAUCCAUCCGCCCCCGGGACGAGACGAAAUGUGGCCGCAUGCGCGGCUGAAUCGCAAC
rfam:Halorubrum vacuolatum strain DSM 8800 genome assembly, contig: Ga0170423_113